rnacentral:rRNA from 1 species
UACAGAGGAUGCAAGCGUUAUCCGGAAUGAUUGGGCGUAAAGCGUCUGUAGGUGGCUUUUUAAGUCCGCCGUCAAAUCCCAGGGCUCAACUCUGGACAGGCGGUGGAAACUACCAAGCUCGAGUACGGUAGGGGCAGAGGGAAUUUCCGGUGGAGCGGUGAAAUGCGUAGAGAUCGGAAAGAACACCAACGGCGAAAGCACUCUGCUGGGCCGACACUGACACUGAUGCGCGAAAGCCAGGGGAGCGAACGGG